GGCUUCGUUUAGGAAUUUCAUUAGUUCAAGUUGGAACGAUACAAGGAGGACUAGCAUGGCCCUUGACCAAGGAUGACAAAACAAAAGCAUACUUCU
rnacentral:snRNA from 1 species